GCGUAGUCGAUGGGAAACAGGUUAAUAUUCCUGUACUUGGUGUUACUGCGAAGGGGGGACGGAGAAGGCUAUGUUGGCCGGGCGACGGUUGUCCCGGUUUAAGCGUGUAGGCUGGUUUUCCAGGCAAAUCCGGAAAACCAAGGCUGAGGCGUGAUGACGAGGCACUACGGUGCUGAAGCGACAAAUGCCCUGCUUCCAGGAAAAGCCUCUAAGCAUCAGGUAACAUCAAAUCGUACCCCAAACCGACACAGGUGGUCAGGUAGAGAAUACCAAGGCGCUUGAGAGAACUCGGGUGAAGGAACUAGGCAAAAUGGUGCCGUAACUUCGGGAGAAGGCACGC
rnacentral:rRNA from 1 species